UGCAUGAGAAAGGCGUUUCUACCGAAAAUAAUCGCUGUGGUUGAAGAGCAUGGCUUUGUGUGAGUUUUUCUAAGAACAAAUGGUCUGUAAUUAAUUAUUGUGGCUUGUGACUUUCUAAAAAAUGAAAUAUACUUACAGUGAUAAACUAAAAGUUUUAAGCAUACCGAUUUUCUUUUCUCUGUUUCAUCUUUUGCACAGAUUUUUGAUUUAGCAUUUUGUUGGAGGGCUUGGCAUAUGUGACCAUGGCACCACAUCCUGUGGUUCAGGAAAUGAUAGACCUCUCUGCUGAGGCUAUAGUGACAUGCAGAAAGCGUGCGCAGGCUCCGUGGCCUCGGUUUUCUUCUCUUUGGUCUUGUGUCCCACUGAGCUGGUAAAGUGCCAGCUGCAGGCUAUGCAUGAGAUGGCCACUUCUGGCAAGAUCGCCCACAUUCAGAAAUAAAGAUUGAGCCAUCCUUUCUGUGGAUACUGUCACAGUGUGGUCGGUGAUAAAGUCCAUUAUGCAUUAUGAUGGUCCUGCAGGGUUCUUCCAGGGUUGAAGCACUACAGUUGCCUGGAUAUUUCUGUUUCUUUGGAGCAUAUGAGCUCUGUCGCUCUCUCUUUGCUGAGUACAUGCACUGUGGCAAGGAUGACAUAGGUGUAGCCCCUAUUGUGUUCAGUGGAGGUUUGGGGGGAGCUUGUCUCUGGUUUGUGGUUUACCCCGUGGACUGAGUUAAAUCCAGGAUACAGGUCAUGUCAAUGACAGGCAAGCAGUCAGGCUUCUUCAAGACUUUCAUGCAUAUCUUCAGAACAGAAGGGAUCUAUAAUCUGGUCUGACUCCCACAAUGAUACGCACAUUUCCAGCCAACGGUGCUCUGUUCUUAGGUUAUGAAGCCAGCCGCAAUAUCAUGAUGGCACAGUUUGACAGCUAACCCCAAAACAGCACGUGUUAUUUUCUCAUUUUUAAAUGAACUACUUAUAAUUCACCAUGGCCAGUCUAUAGUAUUUCAUUCAACAUGCCAUGGAUUGCACACUAAUGCACAUUUUUAUAAUGCUUUGUUCUAUUUAUACUCUUUAACACUUUACAGUAAGGUUAUACUUGUUUAGUUAAUGCAUUAGGUAUUAUGAACUAUCAGUGAACAAGGGUUUUUAAAGCAUUUAUUAAUCUAAGUUAAUGUACAAAUAUACUAGGUUAAUCACUAGGUUAAUGUACAAAUAUACUACUGUUUAUUCAUGUGUUCAUAAUACAUUAAUGUCAAUGCAUACAACAUAAAAUGUUAAAAUAAAUUAGUAGCAUAUGUAAACAUUUACAGCAUAAUGUUAACAAAUUAAAUUUUACUGUAAAGUGUUACCAUUAUUUUUUUUUAUUAUUGUUAGGGUGUUUUUAUGUAGAUAAACCUUGGUCUGAGGGUCUAGAAAUGUAAUUGUAUUUGUCUCCGUUGUGCUAGUAACACUAGUCCCAUCACUCCCUCAUGCCUACAAUUCACAUUUGAAACCAUGUAGUCUAUAUACGUUCAAGGAACAAUGCUGAAUGAAAAAUAACUAUGCAAUUAAGUUUUGAAUGCUGUUUUCUUGAACACUUAUAGACAAAACGAACAUCUGCGAUUAAACCUGAAUGACUUAACUGCUAACUGUCUAUCUAAACCUAGUUUUAAAUAUACACCAAAUUUGUUCGAUCAGUAUAACUGCAAGGUUUGUUUUCUGUUAUGUUUGUAUUUGAUGUUAUUAUUUCAAGUGAGGGGAAAAUGCCUUAUUCAUAAAUAAUAAAUUCAGGUUCAAAAGCCUGAGACAACCUUGUGAAAAUGCUCCAGAUGGCAUGUCAUGGUUCAGUUCAAACAAGGAAAUCUGUGUUCAUGUGAUUAACGUCAAAUUUGCUUACUGGAUUAGUGAUUUAAAGGUAGCGGAGCAUCAUAAAAAUUUCUUAUUUAUUUGACUUUUUUUUUAUUUUUAUGUUUUAAAUGUUUGAAAAGAACCCAAACCUUGUCAAAUUUAGAUGGUUAAUGUGAACCCAUUGUAUGUGUAAGUUUUUGUAUGUGAUUAUAUUCUUGUUAUUUUCAGUCAUUCUGCCAAAAAACAUUUACAGACUCUACAUGCAUAUUUCAAAUCAUUUAAAAAUUAUGUACUGAGGUCAGCAGUACAGUAUGGCAGUAUUAUAUUUUGUUCCAUAUCAACAUAGCAUUUGAAAUAUACUGACUGUAAAUGUUCUGCUAUUUGAUUCACUUCUGAAAGAGUCCCAUUUAUAUAGUUGAAGAACACCAACUCUCUACAAAACUGAAUAACUUUGUAAAACCAAGAUUGUAUUUUUUUUUUAAACUAUGCAUAUUUGAUUUAUUUUAGGGAUUUGAAUUAACGAUACUAAAUCAUAGAUUUCUGUAGAGAAUUGAAUUGUGUAAUAUUAAAUGUGAAUUAAAGUCUGACAAAACGCAUAUAAACCACACUGUGUAACAGUUUGGAUUUUAUUUAUAUUUUAGUAUUUUAUUUAAUUUCUAAGCUAUAAAAACACAGAUACAAAUCCUAUAACAUAAAAGUGUUAUGCUAUUAAUUAAAGCCAUUUUCCUUUAAAAUAUUAUUCACACUUUAAGUCAUUAUACAUAAGCCAUUACUAAAAAAAACUGUAUUAAGCCAAAAAAUAACUAAUAAACAUCAAUAAGAGUCAAGAAGAUUAAGUAUACACAAAGAAAGUACAAAUAAACCUUCAUUAAAAUGUUCAGAUAGCAUCUUCCACAAGAGGGCGCUGGUUAAGGAUGCUGGACGGUAGAUGUGAGGGUAUGACCUUCCUGGCACCUGGAGCAGUCAGGGCUUACAGCGGCUACAAAAUAACAAUCCUUUCAUCAGUUUUUAAAGAGAUCUACUAGAAUAUCUACUAUUGAUCAUUUAGCCUGGAAGGAGGCUCUUACUCUUUCCUCUUUUUUUCUCAUUGUCGAGGUGUAAGAACCUACUUCCAGUAGGCCUACAUUUAAUUUAAAAAUGACAAAAACAAAAUAUAUAUAGGCUAUGUUAUGGAGACUGUAGGAGACAUGCAAUUGUCCUAUAAUAAUAGUACUAUUUAAGUGUGAAAAUUCAACUAUAUACUCCUAAUACUGAAUUCAAUUAAUUGAGAUGAGAUGUUUUGACAUGAACGGAAAUUAAAAUGAAUAACAAAGUAUUAAAAUUGCUGCAAAAAAAAAGGAAAAAAGG